GAACACAGAGUUAAGGUCAGUGCCCUGGUGCUGGAGACUGUGAAUCACCCAGGGGCUUGCUUGGUGUGAUGCAUGGAGGUGGCUGAUUACAGCAUGGGUCAAGCUGAUGGUGGGACAUACUCCCAGGUGGACCUGCACUAGUGAAGCUAAGGGAUGUGGCUCAGAACACUUUCUGCUGUGGGAAUCAUUUUCCAGGUUCAGGUUGAAGUCCAGCAAAAUUGCGACUGUCCUCUUUACAACUUGCGAGACCACACUGCUUCUGCAUUUGCCUGUUGCUUCCAAGCAGAGCCCACUGAAUCAAAGUUGGGUUUCAGGAAGAUCACGGAGUUCAGUGAGCACUCAACACCUCUAUCAGACAGACUGCGUGGGCAGUGCCUUCCUGGAGAGGGGAACACAGCAGGAUGACUAUCCUUGACCUCCCAGUAUGACAGCUUAAAGGCUGUCAUCUCUGUGGCCUGCCUCCCCUUUCCCUUCACCCUGCCAGCUGCCUCUCAGUGACUGUCUCCUCCAGUGACUACACUGAGGGACCAGGGACUGCUUGCCUCCCGAGGCUGCUCAGACCUUCCGACACCGCAAAAUGAUUGUCAAAAAUGGGUCUGCAAAGAGUAACUUCCCUUCCACUGAUCAAACCUGAAUGUGCAAGCUACUGUCAAUUAACUGGAAAAGUGGCCGUGUGGGCUGGUGCUUUGGUGAU
rnacentral:lncRNA from 1 species